GGGAAAUCGACGCGCUCNACGCGUCGGCUUCCGGUGGAAACUGCACGGCUUGGGGCCGGAAGACUCAGCGGGUACGUCUGGGGUAGGAGUGAAAUCCUGUAAUCCUGGACGGACCACCAAUGGCGAAAGCACGCUGAGAAGCCGGACCCGACAGUGAGGGACGAAAGCCAGGGUCUCGAACCGGAUUAGAUACCCGGGUAGUCCUGGCCGUAAACGAUGCUCGUUAGGUCUGCCGUGCACUACGAGUGCACGGUGAGCCGAAGUGAAGACGAUAAACGAGCCGCCUGGGAAGUACGUCCGCAAGGAUGAAACUUAAAGGAAUUGGCGGGGGAGCACUACAACCGGAGGAGCCUGCGGUUUAAUUGGACUCAACGCCGGACAUCUCACCAGCAUCGACAAUGUGCAGUGAACGUCAGGUUGAUGACCUUACUGGAGCCAUUGAGAGGAGGUGCAUGGCCGCCGUCAGCUCGUACCGUGAGGCGUCCUGUUAAGUCAGGCAACGAGCGAGACCCGCACUCCUAAUUGCCAGCAACACCCUUGCGGUGGUUGGGUACCUUAGGAGGACUGCUCGUACCAACCUGGAGGAAGGAACGCGCA
rnacentral:rRNA from 1 species